CCUACGGGCGGCAGCAGUGGGGAAUAUUGGGCAAUGGACGCAACUUUGACCCAGCAACGCCGCGUGAAUGAUGAAGGUCUUCGGAUUGUAAAGUUCUUUUCUAAGGGAAGAAGAAAGUGACGGUACCUUAGGAAUAAGCCUCGGCUAACUACGGGGCAGCAGCUGCGGUAAUACGUGGGAGGAAAGCGUUUACCGGAAAGUCUGGGCGUAAAGGGUGUGUAGGUGGGUUGACAAGCUUGUAGCGUAACUCCGGGGCUCAACUUCCGAACUACUUCCAAAACUAUUGAACUCGAGUGCAGGAGGGGUAACUGGAAUUUCAAGUGAAGCGGUGGAAUGCGUAGAUAUUAGGAAGAACACCAGUGGCGAAGGCGAGUUGCUGGACUGAAACUGACGCUGAGGCACGAAAGCGUGGGGAGCAAACAGGAUUAGAUACCCCUGUAGUC
rnacentral:rRNA from 1 species